rnacentral:rRNA from 1 species
GACGAACCGUCCGAACGUUAUUCGGAAUCACUGGGCUUAAAGGGUGCGUAGGCGGCGCGGAAAGUUGGGUGUGAAAUCCCUCGGCUCAACCGAGGAACUGCGCCCAAAACUACCGUGCUCGAGGGAGAUAGAGGUGAGCGGAACUUAGGGUGGAGCGGUGAAAUGCGUUGAUAUCCUGAGGAACACCGGUGGCGAAAGCGGCUCACUGGAGAGCUUCUGACGCUGAGGCUCGAAAGCUAGGGUAGCGUACGGG